UCCGGGAGGANAUAAAUGACGUGUACCUGAAGAAUAAGCAUCGGCUAACUCCGUGCCAGCAGCCGCGGUAAGACGGAGGAUGCAAGUGUUAUCCGGAAUCACUGGGCGUAAAGCGUCUGUAGGUGGNNNAAUAAGUCAACUGUUAAAUCUUGAGGCUCAACCUCAAAAUCGCAGUCGAAACUAUUAGACUAGAGUAUAGUAGGGGUAAAGGGAAUUUCCAGUGGAGCGGUGAAAUGCGUAGAGAUUGGAAAGAACACCGAUGGCGAAGGCACUUUACUGGGCUAUUACUAACACUCAGAGACGAAAGCUAGGGUAGCAAAUGGGAUUAGAUACCCCAGUAGUCCUAGCCGUAAACAAUGGAUACUAGAUGUGAACAGAUCGACCUGUGCAGUAUCAAAGCUAACGCGUUAAG
rnacentral:rRNA from 1 species